CCUACGGGAGGCAGCAGUGAGGAAUAUUGGUCAAUGGACGAGAGUCUGAACCAGCCAAGUCGCGUGAAGGAUGACUGCCCUAUGGGUUGUAAACUUCUUUUAUAUGGGAAUAAAAUGUUCCACGUGUGGGCUUUUGUAUGUACCAUAUGAAUAAGGAUCGGCUAACUCCGUGCCAGCAGCCGCGGUAAUACGGAGGAUCCGAGCGUUAUCCGGAUUUAUUGGGUUUCAAGGGAGCGUAGGGGGAUUGUUAAGUCAGUUGUGAAAGUUUGCGGCUCAACCGUAAAAUUGCAGUUGAAACUGGCAGUCUUGAGUACAGUAGAGGUGGGCGGAAUUCGUGGUGUAGCGGUGAAAUGCUUAGAUAUCACGAAGAACUCCGAUUGCGAAGGCAGCUCACUGGACUGAAACUGACACUGAGGCUCGAAAGUGUGGGUAUCAAACAGGAUUAGAUACCCCUGUAGUC
rnacentral:rRNA from 1 species